rnacentral:rRNA from 1 species
ACGGAAGGCAGCAGUGGGGAAUAUUGGGCAAUGGGCGAAAGCCUGACCCAGCGACGCCGCGUGAGGGAAGAAGGUCUUCGGAUUGUAAACCUUAGUCAACAGGGAAGAAGCAAGUGACGGUACCUGUGGAGGAAGCCACGGCUAACUACGUGCCAGCAGCCGCGGUAAUACGUAGGUGGCAAGCGUUGUCCGGAAUUACUGGGUGUAAAGGGAGCGCAGGCGGGAAAUCAAGUUGGAUGUGAAAUGUCGGGGCUUAACCCCGGAACUGCAUCCAAAACUGAUUUUCUUGAGUGAAGUAGAGGUAGGCGGAAUUCCGAGUGUAGCGGUGAAAUGCGUAGAUAUUCGGAGGAACACCAGUGGCGAAGGCGGCCUACUGGGCUUUAACUGACGCUGAGGCUCGAAAGUGUGGGGAGCAAACAGGAUUAGAUACCCUGGUA